rnacentral:rRNA from 1 species
CCUACGGGUGGCUGCAGUGGGGAAUAUUGGGCAAUGGGCGCAAGCCUGACCCAGCAACGCCGCGUGAAGGAAGAAGGCUUUCGGGUUGUAAACUUCUUUUAAGAGGGAAGAGCAGAAGACUGUACCUCUUGAAUACGCUCCGGCUCACUACGGGCCAGCAGCCGCGAUAAUACGGAGGGAGCGCGCGUUGUCCGGAUUUACUGGGUGUAAAGGGCGUGCAGCCGGGAGUACAAGUCAGAUGUGAAAUCCCGCGGCUCAACCGCGGAACUGCAUUUGAAACUGUAGUUCUUGAGUACAGGAGAGGCAGACGGAAUUCCUAGUGUAGCGGGGAAAUGCGUAGAUAUUAGGAGGAACACCAGUGGCGAAGGCGGCUUGCUGGACAGCAACUGACGGUGAGGCGCGAAAGCGUGGGGAGCAAACAGGAUUAGAUACCCCAGUAGUC